rnacentral:rRNA from 1 species
UUUAAUUGAAGAGUUUGAUCAUGGCUCAGAUUGAACGCUGGCGGCAGGCCUAACACAUGCAAGUCGAGCGGCAGCGACAACAUUGACCCUUCGGG